GUUAGCUGCCUUGGGGAGGGGAGGAAGACCACCAGAGCCCAGGACGAUCUGCUGUGCAGAUCAUGAACCGUCGCCGCAGUGCCAGACAGACUCUUCAUCCGGACCGGCCGUCCCACUGGGUCCCCUCAGGAAAGCGCAGAAGCCGGGGACCCCAAACCGCGUCCAGCUCCUCCCACCCGCCCUUCUCGGAGCCGCGCACUUGGUAACUUGCGUGUGAAGAACUCACGGCCGUGUUGCCAGGAAACUGCGGGGAGCAGCCUUUGUGGUCUCACAUAUGCGUAACAUAAUAAUAAAUAACGGUUAACGUGAUAAUAAAUAAACAAAUAACAAUAAUUA